rnacentral:lncRNA from 1 species
UGUUCUCCACACGGCAUCCUCCAUCUCUCAAUCUCCUCUCUCUUAUACCAACUUCCUACACCUCAUGCUCGACACCACCUCUCCUCUUCUUCACAAACUCAGACUUCUUCUGUUUGCUUCUGCAAGAGACCGAUUUAGGCAUCGGAGGGUCUACCAUUGAGGAACCCUCCAACGUGAGGACUUUCCUAUCUUUAGUGGUUUUGCUGGAUCUAGCUUGAAAGAUUGAUCAAUGACC